rnacentral:tRNA from 1 species
GCGGGUGUGGCGGAAUUGGCAGACGCGCUAGAUUUAGGAUCUAGUGUUGUACGACGUGGGGGUUCGAGUCCCUUCACCCGCACCA